AGUGAACGCUGGCGGUAGGCCUAACACAUGCAAGUCGAACGGCAGCACAGUAAGAGCUUGCUCUUACGGGUGGCGAGUGGCGGACGGGUGAGGAAUACAUCGGAAUCUACUUUUUCGUGGGGGAUAACGUAGGGAAACUUACGCUAAUACCGCAUACGACCUACGGGUGAAAGCAGGGGAUCUUCGGACCUUGCGCGAUUGAUUGAGCCGAUGUCGGAUUAGCUAGUUGGCGGGGUAAAGGCCCACCAAGGCGACGAUCCGUAGCUGGUCUGAGAGGAUGAUCAGCCACACUGGAACUGAGACACGGUCCAGACUCCUACGGGAGGCAGCAGUGGGGAAUAUUGGACAAUGGGCGCAAGCCUGAUCCAGCUAUACCGCGUGGGUGAAGAAGGCCUUCGGGUUGUAAAGCCCUUUUGUUGGGAAAGAAAAGCAGCAGGUUAAUACCCCGCUGUUCUGACGGUACCCAAAGAAUAAGCACCGGCUAACUUCGUG
rnacentral:rRNA from 1 species